ACGGGUAAAGAUCGCGUCGGUUCCCCGAAAGGGGAUUAAAAUGGGAAUGCGGUGCGGGUGGUUCUCCAUCCAAAUCCGCAGCUGUCCCUGCAACUGUAAGUGGCGAGCGCGAUAUACAUGUGCGGACGGCAUAGCGCCGAGCCGCCAGCCACUGGGCCGGACGCUGUAACAUGCGAGGCCUGGGAAGGCCGUAUAUCAAGCGAUGACCCAUGAGCCAGGAGACCUGCCGGUGUCUGGUCGCUCUU
rnacentral:ncRNA from 2 species